CUCAGUUCACACCAUUGACCUCUGGUAUCACCUACGGUCUGUUAAUUACAAAGGAAUAUAAAGAAUGCUUGUGGACUGAGACUACUCACCUACAGAAGCCUUCUGUAGAGACUAGGUCUUACCUGCAAUCCUAUCAAUUUUGCCAGUCUAUGGAUUUGGGGAAAACCUAAAGAUUCACUAUACUAUAUAUAUUAAUAUGAUCAUGAAGUUGGAGAUUCCCUGAUAAAAUUGAUGCCUUUAUAAAAACAAAGAAGAAAGAAGGGAGAGCACCUUUUUGCCA